UGCGUGUGUGUGUCUUAGUGCGUGCAUGGUCCUUCUGAUCAGUCCAGUGGUGACAGACCAGUGCCAGGCUGGUGCAAUACAAUACAAAACCAAUCACAUGUCACCUGUGAACCUCCUAUUCCUGUACCCCGCAUUGUAAAGAGGGUCCUACCAUGUCCUAUCAAAGGUGCUAGGCUACGCACAUCAAGCUGAACAGAGACAGACCAUCACACAGACCACCGAUGGCAUUGUUCAACGGUUGACAUCGCUAGUGUCGAAACAGUUGCUACACAGAGUCCGGUUGCCGUCGGCAACAACACCGCACUUGUUUAUUAGAAAAUGUAUAAAAGCGAAGCUGAUGAGCUUUGUUGGCAUGUGAGAGAGACGCUUUGUCAGUGAAGUCUCAUAGGUUAAGAGGCCUAUGAUGUAGUCCCCGGGUAAGCACUAUACCGCCGAGUUUCCUUGUGUAUGCAUUGUGGCUUGUUUCUAAAGCGCCGUCGUGUGAAAAUAACAAAGAAGACGUUCUUUCGAGUUGGUUGUUUUGUUUUCUCCGGAUUCCGAAUCCGAUGUCUUUUGUUUUGUUUUUCACCCAUUUUACCAUCUCAUGGAUUGAAGGAAAAAAAAAACACAAGAGAGUUACGUGUACCACAACAAGGGGACUGCGGCUGUGAGCGACGGACCACCGAGGAAAACAGAGGAACCGCUCGUGUCUUAAUCCAUCUUGAUAAGUGGAACCUUUUAUCCGUGGCCCCGGAGUGAGAGAGACCGAGGGGCCACCGGGAUACAAAACAAAAGGAUUAAAGGAUUAAAGCGGAGCAGAUACUGUACACCUUGAUGAUCAGAAGAUAAAUAUGAUGAUCCGGUUUCUUAUUAUUAUGUGUAAAUGAACAACGGCAUAUUAUGCAGCAGCAGAUGUUCGACAUGUCCAACUCAUCCUGGGUUCUUCAUUCUGCUUGAUGAAUCCAUGCUUCAGUGAACUCCUUGGCAUAACUGACACUGAUUGCUGUGUGUGUGUUUGUGUGUGUGUGUGUGUGUGUGUGUGUGUGUGUGUGUGUGUGUGUGUGUGUGUGUGUGUGUGUGUGUGUGUGUGUGUGUGUGUGUGUGUGUGUGCACCUGUGAAAGUGUGUGUGUGUGUGGCGUGCGUGGGGGUCAACGAGUGUGUCAACGUGCUGCUAAUGGAAUAGUGUGUUGUGUUGUUUCACGUCGGUCGUGCUGCACUUUUGUUUUUGGGUGUUUCCAAUAAAGCUGUUCUAACUUUACGACGUUUGUU
ensembl:lncRNA